rnacentral:rRNA from 1 species
UACGUAGGGUGCGAGCGUUGUCCGGAAUUAUUGGGCGUAAAGAGCUUGUAGGCGGUUUGUCGCGUCUGCCGUGAAAGCCCAGGGCUUAACCCUGGGUCUGCGGUGGGUACGGGCAGACUAGAGUGUGGUAGGGGAGACUGGAAUUCCUGGUGUAGCGGUGGAAUGCGCAGAUAUCAGGAGGAACACCGGUGGCGAAGGCGGUUCUCUGGGCAUGACCUGACGCUGAGGAGCGAAAGUGUGGGGAGCGAACAGG